rnacentral:rRNA from 1 species
GACGAACGCUGGCGGCGUGCUUAACACAUGCAAGUCGAACGGAAAGGCCCUGCUUUUGUGGGGUGCUCGAGUGGCGACCGGGUGAGUAACACGUGAGUAACCUGCCCUUGACUUUGGGAUAACUUCAGGAAACUGGGGCUAAUACCGGAUAGGAGCUCCUGCUGCAUAGUGGGGGUUGGAAAGUUUCGGCGGUUGGGGAUGGACUCGCGGCUUAUCAGCUUGUUGGUGGGGUAGUGGCUUACCAAGGCUUUGACGGGUAGCCGGCCUGAGAGGGUGACCGGCCACAUUGGGACUGAGAUACGGCCCAGACUCCUACGGGAGGCAGCAGUGGGGAAUAUUGCACAAUGGGCGGAAGCCUGAUGCAGCAACGCCGCGUGCGGGAUGACGGCCUUCGGGUUGUAAACCGCUUUCGCCUGUGACGAAGCGUGAGUGACGGUAAUGGGUAAAGAAGCACCGGCUAACUACGUGCCAGCAGCCGCCGUAACAC